AUUGCAAUUCGCGCACAAGGUCGCCUGCCAUCGACGCGCCGGCUUUGCGCAUCUCUUGCUUUCUUAUCAUAAACUGUCGCGUUGUAACUUGUGCAGUAUGCGGCCAGUUACGUGCCGGCCUCUGGUUGAUACAGACGUAUUUAUCGCGACUCGUAUUGUUUGUUCGGACUUUUGCUUUCUUCCUCGUUGCAUUGUAUUCGAUCAUCAAUAGACUAUUUUAUUGUAACUACUAUAGUAAUGUUAUUUAUUAUUUGCGUGUUUAAUUACAUUAUUGUACAAAAGUGAUAGAUAUUUGAUCGCGUUUCGUGUGCAUACUUCUGCAAGUUACAAGAUUCGGUGUCAAUAAAUGGAUAUAGCAUGGUCCCCAUGUAGAUUUAUUCAUCAUUACCUUGUGUAUAUAUUGCAUCUUGCAGAACGACUCUUAUGCUAACAAAAUUGGCACAAGGUAUGCGGAAUUUAGUUCUCCGUUUGGUUGUAUUUACUUGUUGCAGGAAUUCGCCCGGAAACCCGCGAAAAUUUACAUAAAAGGAUUUUGCACCUGAGUCUGACAUCGUAGAAGGACCAUUCUUGCAUCAGAUUAGAUUUUGCACCUGAGUCUGACAUCAUAGAAGGACCAUUCUUGCAUCAUAUUGGAUUUUGCACCUGAGUCUGACAUCGUAGAAGGACCAUUCUUACAUCAGAUUGAUUUUGCACCUGAGUCUGACAUCGUAGAAGGACCAUUCUUGCCUCAGAUUGGAUUUUGCACCUGAGUCUGACAUCGUAGAAGGACCCUUCUUGCAUCAGAUUGGAUUUUGCACCUGAGUCUGACAUCGUAGAAGGACCAUUCUUGCAUCAGAUUGGAUUUUGCAUCUGAGUCUGACAUCGUAGAUGGACCAUUCUUGCAUCAGAUUGUAGGGAUUUUGCAUCUGAGUCUGACAUCGUAGAUGGACCAUUCUUGCAUCAGAUUGAUUUUGCACCUGAGUCUGACAUCGUAGAAGGACCAUUCUUGCAUCAGAUUGGAUUUUGCACCUGAGUCUGACAUCGUAGAAGGACCAUUCUUACAUCAGAUUGAUUUUGCACCUGAGUCUGACAUCGUAGAAGGACCAUUCUUACAUCAGAUUGGAUUUUGCACCUGAGUCUGACAUCGUAGAAGGACCCUUCUUGCAUCAGAUUGGAUUUUGCACCUGAGUCUGACAUCGUAGAAGGACCAUUCUUGCAUCAGAUUGGAUUUUGCAUCUGAGUCUGACAUCGUAGAUGGACCAUUCUUGCAUCAGAUUGUAGGGAUUUUGCAUCUGAGUCUGACAUCGUAGAUGGACCAUUCUUGCAUCAGAUUGAUUUUGCACCUGAGUCUGACAUCGUAGAAGGACCAUUCUUGCAUCAGAUUGGAUUUUGCACCUGAGUCUGACAUCAUAGAAGGACCAUUCUUGCAUCAGAUUGAAAGGAUUUUGCACCUGAGUCUGACAUCGUAGAAGGACCCUUCUUGCAUCAGAUUGGAUUUUGCACCUGAGUCUGACAUCGUAGAAGGACCAUUCUUGCAUCAGAUUGGAUUUUGCAUCUGAGUCUGACAUCGUAGAUGGACCAUUCUUCUUCAAAAUGUAUGCUGGUGUGUUUUCUUUAAUAAAGAAUAUUUUUAAGUU